rnacentral:rRNA from 1 species
AACGCGAAGAACCUUACCAGGGCUUGACAUCCCUCUGACAGUCCCUUAACCGGGACCUUCUUCGGACAGAGGAGACAGGUGGUGCAUGGUUGUCGUCAGCUCGUGUCGUGAGAUGUUGGGUUAAGUCCCGCAACGAGCGCAACCCUUGUCUUUAGUUGCCAUCAUUCAGUUGGGCACUCUAGAGAGACUGCCGAGGAUAACUCGGAGGAAGGUGGGGAUGACGUCAAAUCAUCAUGCCCCUUAUGAUCUGGGCUACACACGUGCUACAAUGGUCGGUACAACGGGCAGCGAAAGAGUAAUCUGGAGCGAAUCCUAAAAAGCCGAUCCCAGUUCGGAUUGUGGGCUGAAACUCGCCCACAUGAAGUUGGAGUUGCUAGUAAUCGCGAAUCAGAAUGUCGCGGUGAAUGCGUUCCCGGGUCUUGUACACACCG